rnacentral:lncRNA from 1 species
AGAGGAGCUGAUCUUGUUAGUAUUACUGUUCACCUGAGACAGAGGGUGGCUGGCAAUGUCGGAGAAUCUGUCACGUGGCUGUGUCACCGGGGUUAUGCUCUUCCCUCUUUCUAUAUUGUUCCACUUAGGACAGCUGUCACAGAAGUUUCCCUUCCUGACAGGCAAGAAUGCUUUUGUACAACCUUUUCAUGUUUUGCCCAACCCAGAAAAGAAUAAUGCAAAGAAGCCUUAGGUUUAAGUGCUGUUUGAAUUGAAACAGGUUCGUACUGCAUCUGGCUUCUUUGCCAAGGAAUAGGAGAGCCUCCCUUGUGAGUCAUGGAAUCACAGAUUCCCAGACUGGUUUGAGCUGGAAGGGACUUUAAAGACCAUCCAGUUCCACCCCCUGCCAUGGGUGGAACAUCUUCCACUAGAUCAGACAAGAAAAUGAGUUCAGCUUGCAGCUUUUCUGGUACCUGAUUCUUAUGAUGUGUCAUAUUUUCAGCUCUUGUUUUUAAAAUACAGCUAUCCAGGCCAUAACACCCUUCAUGGUGAAUGUCAGUCCCCAAACCCAAAAGGAAAUGUGUGGUUUCAGACAUUUUGCUGUUUCUGAGACUGUCAGUGACAAACCAUUACGAAAACCUAGUGAAAGAGACAGAGAUGGAUUUAUAAGUAUAACUUAACUAUUUUAAUAAGUCUUGUACAGUGCAUGGUUAUAUCAUUGUCUCCUUCGCUCAGUUACAUCAACAUACAGUACUUUAUAGCAGUGUCUGCAGGCAGUACAAACAGAUCAGGUGCACAGCUCAGUUCCAUGGAAAUUUGUAAAAGUGACCUCUGCAAUAAGGUCUGCUGAGCUAUCUGUUAUAGGAAGUGCCGCUGUGGCUCCCAGCUUUACAGAGCUGUUGUGUACACUCCUGUUAAAAUCCCAGGUAACUGUAAUUCCCUGAGAUUUGCUUUCCUCUACACCACAGGACUAAAAGGUGGGGUGUUUCCUAGCUCAACAUUUGUUUUUAUUUUCAUUUUAGAAACUUUUUCGCCUCCUGUGCUUGCCAUCCUGCUUCCCUUCUCCACCCUAAUCCAGAGCCAGGGCUUCUCAGGAGGACUGUCCUCUUCAUCCCUCCCUGACAAGUGCUGGUACAGCCCCCCAUUCCAUCAGGAAUUAUCCAGAAAAACACUUACCUCCAGCUGGUUUUUCUCCACCGUGAUCUUGCUGUACACUCUGUUUCCCUCAUCACCACACACCUUUUUCAGCUCCUCUCUGUUGAGGGAGAAGAGCUGAGCUCCGGUGAGGAUGCCCAGGUGUUCCACGGUCCUGGGGAGACACAAAGUGGGGAGAUGAUGGUUGUGCUGCAGGUGGCCCCAUGCCAGAGGUGAAGAGUGGGAGAUGGGAGGCUGGGAGCUGCACUGGGAUUGUAUCACAGGGCCCUGGGGCUGUGCCAGGAUGGCAGCUGUGAUUCCAGUGGCAUUUCAGGCCAUGGGUUUAGUUUGUUGAUAUUUUUUUUCUCGAAGAAAUGUUUCUAGGAAAAAAUGGGAGUGAGUUUGGGCUCUGAACAUCCUGGUUAUAGAGCCUGGAUAUAAUAGGGUUGAAAUCUAAUUUACAACACAGGCUCUGUAAGUAAAUCCCAGUGACUUGUCCCAGGUGAGAUGGUGCCAGCAGCCUCCCAGCUCCUUCUCCAGGGAAGGAUGAGCGUUUCAUGUGGCAAUAGAGCAAAUCUUACUCUUUGCUGAAUGACUUGGCCUCCAGCCAGGCUUUGACUUCUUCAGUGCUGGACUCAAAGGUGAGGGGCACAAAAACUUGCUGACGCUUUUCCACUUUGAAAUUCCUGUGGGCAGGCUGAAUUUUAUUGUUUGUGAUCUUCUUUAGCAGCUCGGCAUUCAGCUCAUCUAUUUGGUGGAUAAGUUGUGUAGAAACAGGUAGGGAAUGCAAUAAAAUCUUCAGUCAAAAAUCCCA